UUCCGAAAUGGCACGUCCAAAAUACGAUGAUGAAGCAAUUUUUUGAAAUCUUAAAAUAUAACAACAUUGGGGGCAAUUAAUUUCUUCCAACGAGGCCUACAUCCAUCAUAUCAGAUUUCAACGUUCCAAGCCCAUCAAACACAUUAUCAUAAAUUUAUCAGUCCUAGAUUGUACAGUCUACAAGUGAACAAUUCUCUCAUUUUUAUUUGCAGGUGUACUCUUCGCUCUUGAUAGUGCAAGUCUGGCACUUGACUUCGCAGCACCAGUGGAAUUUGCAGUUGCACUGAUGGGAGACGUGGUUGAACUGGUGGGUGUUGUACCCCCGUCCACAGCAGAGCAGGUUGCAGCCAUCAGCACCUAUUACAGAAUAGAGAGAACAAGUUACCUGUUGAGGUUCGAUUACACCUCCUGCCGACGACACCCAGCGACCCCGUCGACGGGUUCGCCUCGCAGUAGUUUGGCGAAGAGUUGAGAAACACCAGCUCCGAGAGACGGGGCUUGUUGUGCGGCUUCCU